rnacentral:lncRNA from 1 species
UCGGCAAGGCAUCAUUGGUGCUGCGGCAGCCUGACGCGCCCCGUGCGCUUGACUCGCUUGAUUUGCAUAUGCAAUGCAGCCAUACUUAAUGAGUGGCCAUUGCUGACCUGCAGGGACCUGGGGAGAGGAUGAGUCUGAAUGGCUCAGUGUGGGCAGAUCAGCGCAGAAGAGGCUACAGUCCUUCCCGUGCAGGGCAUGGAAGCUU